rnacentral:ncRNA from 1 species
UGAUAGCUGUGAAGCGUGAGGUUGCUGCCCUGAUGGCAGGUUUUCCGUGGAGCGAAUGUCAAGUUAGGAAACUGGCGACAA